GGCUCACGGCACGGACUUGUAGCCGACCUGAAGGCAGCGGCACCUGAAACAUCGCAGUGGUCCACUUGUUUGAUUGUUAAAAGGUAUUGGAGCUGUACAGAGACAGGUGCUUAAGCUUGCCUGAUGUGUAAAGCUCUACUUCAUGAGCUCUAUUUCAUCAUAUCCUUUUCCAAUCAUCUGCCCUGUAAGCCACUCUGAGAGCCCAUCCACACGCUCUCCUUCAUGACCCCAAGUCCAGGCAGCAGUGCAAAGGAAAAAGCUGAAUGUUCCAGGAGCUCG